UUAGUCGAGAAUUUAUUUGUUUUCAAGAUAAAAAAUCGAAGAUUUCUUUUGCGUCCUUAUUGCCUCCUCUUCGUCGGUUUCUGCCUCUGAUCAAUAGAUCUCAGUUUCAGAUAGAGAUACUUCAGGGAAUAACAUUUAUUUUGGGUUUUUGGUUUAUGAUUUUUGGUUUAUGGCUUUCAAUUCUUGGUUUAUUAUGAUGUUGUUCUAUUUUUUAGUUUAUAAUGAUGGGUUUAUUAUGAGUUUCUAUAAGUCAAACUCUAGCUGCCUGAUGCUUUUACUUUUUGGUUCUUUGCCCUUCGAAGUUUAACUCUGUCUAUUCAAGCACGUUGUUGUGUUCUACUCUGUUCUAUUCUACUUCUGUUAAUUUCUUGCUGGUAUUUAUUUUUGAAUUAAUUUUCAUGACUUCUUUCCACCCAAAGAAUGUAGGAAUCCUUGAUAUUUCUAGAUAAAGUUCAAUUUUUAACGGUUUUGAUUUGUGGGGUGUUGCGUGAUUUUGAUGCAGAAAGUUUUGGAGACUCACGAUGGGGCCAGCAAAGGAAAAUACACUAUUAGUCUUGGACAAGAUUGCUUGAAAUUUUGUACUGAGGUUGAAGAUGUUAUCUCUAUGAGCUUGACAGCUGUAUCCUCGCUUCUUCAAAAGUAUAAGAUUGAUCCAAAACAAAUUGGACGCAUGGAAGUUGGUAGUGAAAUUGUCAUUGAUAAAAGCAAAUCCAUUAAGAACCUUCCUUAUGUAACUCUUUGAGGUAUUGAUUCAACAAAUGCAUGCUAUGCUGGAACAACAGCUUUGUUCAAUUGCGUGAAUUAGGUGGAGAGCAGUUCAUGGGAUGGUCGCUAUGAACUUGUUAUAUGUGCAAAUAGCGCGGUGAAUCCACAAUUAUUGAAGCUUUCUUGUAGCUCAAAAAUAUCUUACAAAAUCGGAUUAAUCUCUUAGAGGCUACUCUUUGAUUUAUUGACCGACACCAAAGAUUUGAUUUUAUCUGUAGAUCCAAUAAGAAAUCUUCCAAAGUUGUUCCACGUAUCUACUAUCGUUUCUCCCUCGUCAGAAACUUUCUAAAAAGCUAAAUCAACAUUCAUUUUUAGCCAAUUUUUUGGUGGAAGUCUCUAGGUAACUAGCUUCCCUUUAAGUCUUUUAUUUUCUGUUUGCUUCUGGAU